rnacentral:rRNA from 1 species
ACAUCCAGAGAACUUAGCAGAGAUGCUUUGGUGCCUUCGGGAACUCUGAGGACAGGUGCUACAUGGCUGUCGUCAGCUCGUGUUGUGAAAUGUUGGGUUAAGUCCCGCAACGAGCGCAACCCUUAUCCUUUGUUGCCAGCGGCUCGGCCGGGAACUCAAAGGAGACCUGCCGGUGAUAAACCGGAGGAAGGUGGGGAUGACGUCAAGUCAUCAUGGCCCUUACGGCCAGGGCUACACACGUGCUACAAUGGCGCAUACAAAGAGAAGCGACCUCGCGAGAGCAAGCGGACCUCAUAAAGUGCGUCGUAGUCCGGAUUGGAGUCUGCAACUCGACUCCAUGAAGUCGGAAUCGCUAGUAAUCGUAGAUCAGAAUGCUACGGUGAAUACGUUCCCGGGCCUUGUACACACCGCCCGUCACACCAUGGGAGUGGGUUGCAAAAGAAGUAGGUAGCUUAACCUUCGGGAGGGCGCUUACCACUUUGUGAUUCAUGACUGGGGUGAAGUCGUAACAAGGUAAGCGUAGCGAG